GACGAACGCUGGCGGCGUGCCUAAUACAUGCAAGUAGAACGCAGUAGCGAACGGGUGAGUAACGCGUAGGUAACAGCCUCAUAGGGGGGGAUAACGAUUGGAAACGAUAGAUAAUACCGCAAACUGUGAGAUGGACCUGCGUUGUAUUAGCUAGUUGGUGAGGUAAAGGCCCACCAAGGCGACGAUACAUAGCCUACCUGAACGGGUGAACGGCCACACUGGGACUGGAGCACGGCCCAGAAUCCUACUGGGGGCAGCAGUAGGGAAUCUUCGGCAAUUGACGGAAGUCUGACCGAGGAACGCCGCGUUAGUGAAGAAGGUUUUCGGAUCGUAAAGCUCUUUUGUUAAAGAAGCGGUAACUACCCAGAAAGGGACGGCUAACUACGUGCCAGCAGCCGCGGUAAUAC
rnacentral:rRNA from 1 species